rnacentral:rRNA from 1 species
UCGAGCGAUGAAAUUUUGACAGAUCCCUUCGGGGUGAAGAUAAAAUGGACCAGUAAAGGACGGGUGAGUAACACGUGAGUAACCUGCCUUAGACAUUGGGAUAGCCUCGGGAAACCGGGAUUAAUACCGAAUAAAAUCACAGAUACACAUGUAUCCAUGAUCAAAACUCCGGUGGUCUAAGAUGGACUCGCGUCCCAUUAGCUAGUUGGUGAGGUAACGGCCCACCAAGGCGACGAUGGGUAGCCGGCCUGAGAGGGUGAACGGCCACAUUGGAACUGAGAAACGGUCCAAACUCCUACGGGAGGCAGCAGUGGGGAAUAUUGCACAAUGGAGGGAACUCUGAUGCAGCGACGCCGCGUGAACGAAGAAGGCUUUCGAGUCGUAAAGUUCUUUUAUAUGGGAAGAUAAUGACGGUACCAUAAGAAAAAGCCCCGGCUAACUAUGUGCCAGCAGCCGCGGUAAUACGUAGGGGGCUAGCGUUGUCCGGAAUCACUGGGCGUAAAGGGUUCGCAGGCGGAAAUGCAAGUCAGAUGUAAAAGGCAGUAGCUUAACUACUGUAAGCAUUUGAAACUGCAUAUCUUGAGAAGAGUAGAGGUAAGUGGAAUUUUUAGUGUAGCGGUGAAAUGCGUAGAUAUUAAAAAGAAUACCGGUGGCGAAGGCGACUUACUGGGCUCAUUCUGACGCUGAGGAACGAAAGCGUGGGUAGCAAACAGGAUUAGAUACCCUGGUAGUCCACGCUGUAAACGAUGAGUGCUAGGUGUCGGCUUAAGUCGGUGCCGCAGUUAACACAAUAAGCACUCCGCCU